AUCCCAGUUCGGAUUGCAGGCUGCAACCCGCCUGUAUGAAGUUGGAAUCGCUAGUAAUCGCGGAUCAGCAUGCCGCGGUGAAUACGUUCCCGGGCCUUGUACACACCGCCCGUCACACCAUGAGAGUCGGGAACACCCGAAGUCCGUAGCCUAACCGCAAGGGGGGCGCGGCCGAAGGUGGGUUCGAUAAUUGGGGUGAAGUCGUAACAAGGUAAC
rnacentral:rRNA from 1 species